UCUCCCUUACGUUGAAACAGCUCUACAAUGUUGGUUGGCAUCAUUGUUAAAAUGUUACAGAUGGAGAGGUUGACAUUCAGAAAUGUUCAUGAGAGUCAAACAGGCUGGCACUUGGCAAAGAGGGAUCUCAAUCCAACCACUUUCCUCCACCUCCAGACUCAACACUUCCCAGUUGCCUGCUAUGUGUGACGAAUGCAGUCAUGUGGGAGAUCCGUCUGGCUACACUUAAGGAAUUUCCAGACAGGCUGCAACGCAGCUAAGUUUCUCUUAAAGGCUAUGGAAAACGUUUGCAUGUAUCUACAGAAAAAAAGGGGAGAAGGAGCAGGAAUAGGAGGAGGCAGAGAAAUUGAAGAAGAAAAAUUGGAAUUAGAAAAAAAUUAGAAUUACAAGAAGACAAAGAUGAUGAAGAAGAAUUAGAAAAAAAGAAAGAAAAGGAGUAGAAGGAGAAAAAUUGGAAUGAGUAGAGAAAGAGGAAAGGGAGAAAGAAGGAGAAGGAAGAGGAAGAAGGAAGAGGAAGAGGAGGAGGAGGAGGAAGAGGAUAAGUAACAUUAACUUAUGGCAAGAGAGAGCCAACUAAAACCAAGAAACAGUAUCGUAUUUCGAGCGAUAAUAAAAAAGAACUCCUUAAGGCAGGAGGUAAAGUCAUCCUUUUACCAAUGGACAGAGCCAAGCUUUGAGGCAGGGAAGACACAGACAGCAGAACUCCAAAGGAAUGGCUACGGAACCAAUCAGGAGUGACUGGAGUUGAGGCAUUAGCUGUGCUGCUGUGUCUCUAUCCAGUGGCUGGAGUCAUGGAUUAGGAGCGUGCCCUAACCCGUUGCAAGGAAUGACCAUCAGGAACAGACUUUUUGUUUUUAAAGACGGAGUUUCGCUCUUGUUACCCAGGCUGGAGUGCAACGUCGCGAUAUCAGCUCACUGCAACCUUCGUCUCCUGGGUUCAAGCAAUUCUCCUGCCUCAGCCUCCCGGGAGCAGUCUUUAGAGGACAAUGCUAGGUCCUCUCACAGGAGCCCCGAAGAUUCUCCUCUUGCCAAUGUGGCUGCUAAAAACCCGAUGCUUGUAGCUCAGAAACACUGCCGUGCCUUGGAACUUAGUUCCUCUCCACCCCCAGGGAGGACCCUUGACCGAUGAUUCACAGCUGCACGAAGUUGAGAGGGAUGGAUGGAAUCCAGCUCUUUUGCUUUGGGUGGGGCCAACUCUGAAGCCCAACUCACACUCCAGAGUCAGCCUCUGCAGGACUGUAUCUGAAACUACACCCUUGCUUGGUUUCCCUCACCUGCUUCACCCACUGCCUUACGGAGUUAUCCGCAUACUUCUUUGGUGUCUUUUUGUUUUUGUUUUUUGUUUUUGAGACGGGGUCUCGCUCUGUCGCCCGGGCUGGAGUGCAGGGGCGCAAUCUCGGCUCACUGCAACCUCUGCCUCCUGGGUUCAAGCGAUUCCUCUGUCUCAGCCUCCCGUAGCUGGGAUUACAUGCGUGUGCCAACACGCCCGGCUAAUUUUUGUAUUUUUAGUAGAGAUGGGGUUUCACCAUGUUGGCCAGGCUGGUCUUGGACUUCUGACCUCAAGUCAUCCGCCCCCCUCGGCCUCUCAAAGUGCUGGCAUUACAGGAGUGAGCCACCACGCCCAGCCAGCAUACUUCUUUGUUAAGUAACUUGCACACCAGUUCUCAUCUCAAGGCUAGCUUCUGGAAAUCUGAACUUUGGACAUACCCACAUAGCUCAUUCUUAUUAUUAUUAUCUUUUUUUUUUUUUUUUUGAGAUAGAGUUUUGCUCUGUCACCCAGGCUGGAGUGCAGUGGGGCCAUCUUGGCUCACCGCAACCUCCACCUCCCGGGUUCAAGCGAUUCUCCCGCCUCAGCCUCCUGAGUAGCUGGGAUUAGCAGAUUAAUUUUUAAGAAAUAAAAUCCACUUUCACAAAGAUUAUGUACGUCUUGAUUUUAAGAUUAUUAUUCAUUUAAAUUUUAUAGUUCCCUUUUUGUAUUUUGGAGGCAAUACUUUGUUCCAGGAUGUAAACAUUUUUAUAGGUGCUUGAAAUGCUUGUGUAAACACUG
rnacentral:lncRNA from 1 species